rnacentral:tRNA from 3 species
GGCACUGUAGCUCAGUCGGUAGAGCGCACGCUUCACACGCGUGAUGUCCUCGGUUCGAGCCCGGGCAGAGUCA